rnacentral:tRNA from 1 species
ACGGGUGUAGCUCAGCUGGUAGAGCAACGGUCUCCAAAACCGUGUGUCGGGCGUUCGAAUCGCUCCUCCCGUG